CCACCCCCACCCCCCCAUACCUCUGUCCAACCUAGCCACGGCAUGGACUUGGACCAAAAGGGACCAUCUCUACGCAUUGGACGGUCGGGGCAUGGAGGGGUGAAUCAGCUGGGUGGUGUGUUUGUUAAUGGGCGGCCCUUGCCUGACGUGGUGAGGCAAAGGAUAGUGGAGCUGGCCCAUCAGGGUGUACGCCCAUGUGACAUCUCCCGCCAGCUUCGGGUCAGCCACGGCUGUGUCAGCAAGAUACUGGGCAGGUACUAUGAGACAGGCAGCAUCAGACCAGGGGUGAUUGGAGGCUCCAAACCAAAGGUUGCUACACCCAAAGUCGUCGACAAAAUCGCUGAUUACAAACGCCAAAACCCCACCAUGUUUGCCUGGGAGAUCCGAGACAGACUACUGGCAGAGAGAGUGUGUGACAAUGACAGUGUGCCCAGCGUCAGCUCAAUCAACAGGAUCAUUCGCACUAAAGUCCAGCAGUCACCUGGCCAAUCAGCUAUCUCUGCCCAUAACUUAGCCUCUACAGUGGCAGUUACCCAGGUGUCUGCAGUAACCAGUGACACGGCAGGCUCCUCCUACUCCAUCAGCGGGAUUCUGGGAAUUAGCUCACCUGCCGAUGCAAGCAAGCGAAAGAGAGAUGAAAAUCUACAGGAUUCUCCUUUGGCGAAUGGCCACACUCACUCGGGGCGGGACUUCCUGCGGAAGCAGAUGCGUGGAGAGCUCUUUACACCACAGCAGCUCGAGGUAUUGGACCAUGUCUUUGAUCGACAGCCCAAUCAUGACAUUUACCACACCCCUGACAACAUCAGCAACAAGCCCGCUCAGACGUCUGAUUACUCGGCCAUGGCAUCUUUGGCUGGCGGAUUGGAGGAGAUGAAGAACAGCUUGGUGAAUCAGACGGGAGCAGAGUUGGGUUCAACUGUCGCAGGACCUCAAUCAUAUCCACUAGUGUCCGGUCGUGAUCUGGCCAGCACCACGCUCCCUGGAUACCCCCCUCACGUCCCUCCAACUGGGCAGGGUAGUUACUCCACACCCACUCUCACAGGGAUGGUACCUGGAGGAGAUUUCUCUGGAAGUCCAUAUUCCCAUGCGCAGUAUUCUACAUACAAUGAGUCAUGGAGAUUUGCUAACCCCAGUCUACUAGUGUUCCAGCAGGAGUACGGUUCUUUACUGGGCUCGGAAAGAGCAGCUUCAUCUGGCCUAUUCCCAAGCCAAACCCCACAACCGACAGGAUCUCCAUACUACUAUAGUGCAGCCACACGAGGACCAGGAACGGCUGCAACUGCCACUGCCUAUGACCGCCACUGACCAGCCAGACAGAGGAGAAAACAAUAAAAGAGUGGAGGAAUGAAAAGAGAAUAAAGGAUGGAUUGAUAGCACCCACACAAGACUGCCUACACUUGGAAGAGAAGUAAUGGAGGUGCGGGAAGGUGAAAGGAGAAAGAAAAAGAAAGAAAGAAGAGGUCCCUCUCAUGCCGCCAAAACAGCUCUGGCCGUCGAGGCAUGUACUCCACAAGACCUCUGACAAGUGUCCUGUGGUUUCUGGUACCAAGACGUUAGCAGCAGAUCCUUUAAAUCCUGUAAGUUGUGAGGUGAGGCCUCCAUGGAUCGGACUUGUUGGUCCAGCACAUCCCAUAGAUGCUCAAUCGACUGGGGAAUUUAGAGGCCAAGUCAGCACCUAGAACUCUUUGUCAUGGUUGACGGGCUAGCCUUUGCUCCCCACGCACAUCAAUGAGCCUUGGGCGCCCAUGACCCUGUCGCCGGUUCAUCAUUUGUCCUUCCUUGGACCAAUUUUGGUAGGUAUUAACCACUGCAUACUGGGAACACUCCACAAGAACUGCCGUUUUGGAGAUGCUAUGACCAAGUUGUCAAUUUGACCCUUGUCAAAGUCGCUCAGAUCCUUAAAUUUGCCCAAUUUUCCUGCUUCCAAACCAUGAAAAUCUAGAACUGAGUGUUCACUUGCUGCCUUAUAUAUAUCCACCCCUUGACAGGCGCCAUUGCAACGAGAUAAUGAAUAUUAUUCACUUCACCUGUCAGUGGUUUUAAUGUUGUGGCUGAUCAGUGCAUAUAUAUAUAUAUAUAUAUAACAGUACACUGAAGUCAAAGCUGGGCAUCGUGAAUCGUCUUGUGGGAUCAAACCCCCUAUCAGAAAACGUUAUUCAAAUGCCAGUUGAAAAGAGGGCAUCAAUAUCCAAAUAAGAAAGCAAAAUGUGGUUAUUGUUGUAUACAUGCUGAUACAUCGAUUCUCAUGCCUACAUCAACAUUAAAUGUUUCCCAAUUUCAAAAAGCAGGCUUGAAAAGACAGAGAACUUGGUUAUCACCUUAUUGUGGCCUUUUGUGUACAAUCGGAAGCUCCUUCUGUAAUUAUUUACUAGUGGUUUCUUUCCCAAGAGGUUCAUAAGUAUUUUUUACUGAGAUUUUGAAGUAAACAUGAAAGAUUUUAAGAGAGUUUGAAACGUUUUGACCAAUUUGGUAACACAGCAAUCAGUUCAAUUUAAAGGAGAACGAAAAAGAACGACCAAUUACAGAUCUGUAGCAUCCACCAAAGGCAGAGAUGCCCGGUUUGCUCUGAUGAGCAUUGCAAAAACAUUCGAAUUAUGAAACAGCUAACAUUUUUGACAUGACAGAAAGAUGAAGGAAAUAGUUUGCAAUGAGCUUCUUUAAGAAAUGUGUAUGUUUUUUAUUGAAUUUUCUAGUAGUAAAAAAAACAAACAAAUGUUGGUGUUUUUCUCUGCGUGUCGCGUGUUGUCUUAAUAUUUGAAUCUAUUUACUGCAUAACAAAAUUUGCCAAAGAUAUCAUGCCACUUGAUUUCAAUCUGUUCGGUUCUUCAUGUCUUAUUUCUCAUUUUAUUGAAAUCUGUCCACAAGCUGGAAAUAAAUGUGAUUUGAUAUUGGUUUUAUAAUGGAAUUAUAUUGUUAAUAUUAUGAUGAUAAUUAUGAUUUUCUUUUACUGUUUGUUCAGGGUUAUUUUAAGUGAAAUGUUCAAAUGUCUGAAAUUCCUCCCUGAAACAUUCUCAUAGGCUACUCUGUGUAUGUGCAUAUGAGUGAAUUUUGUUUGUGAAAUAUAAAUUUACGUAUGUUGUAAUGUGAUACUAAGAAGUAAUUAUUUGUAAAUAUUGGCCAUAAUUUUAU